UACGUAGGGACCGAGCGUUGUCCGGAUUCAUUGGGCGUAAAGCGCGCGUAGGCGGCCCGGUAAGUCCGCUGUGAAAGUCAAAGGCUCAACCUUUGAAUGUCAGCGGAUACUGCCAGGCUAGAGUCCGGAAGAGGCGAGUGGAACUCCUGGUGUAGCGGUGGAAUGCGCAGAUAUCAGGAAGAACACCGACGGCGAAGGCAGCUCGCUGGGACGGUACUGACGCUGAGACGCGAAAGCGUGGGGAGCGAACAGG
rnacentral:rRNA from 1 species